rnacentral:rRNA from 1 species
UACGUAGGGUGCGAGCGUUGUCCGGAAUUAUUGGGCGUAAAGGGCUCGUAGGCGGUUUGCCGCGUCGGGAGUGAAAACUCAGGGCUUAACCCUGAGCCUGCUUCCGAUACGGGCAGACUAGAGGUAUGCAGGGGAGAACGGAAUUCCUGGUGUAGCGGUGAAAUGCGCAGAUAUCAGGAGGAACACCGGUGGCGAAGGCGGUUCUCUGGGCAUUACCUGACGCUGAGGAGCGAAAGUGUGGGGAGCGAACAGG